ACGUGAAACUGCUUAGAGGUUAAGCCCGAUGAACCUGAAUAUCCAUUAUGGAAAAUUCAUCACUAAUAAUAUGAUAUUUAUAAUAUUAUAGAAAUAGUGUGCAAUUUUUUCAUAUAAGGACAUUGUAAUCUGUUAAUGUAAUAAAUAUUUAUCAUAAGAUCCAUUAUAAAAGUUUAUUCAAAUUAGUUAUUUUCGGAUUUCUAACAUAGAAUAAGUGUUUUGGAUUUGAUAAAUCAUUGACAGAUAUAAUUAUAUAAUGUGCUUAAAUUCUUCGGAAUUUUACAAUGGUAGAUAGAUCUAUUGAUUUGUUUAUUUAAUUGUAUGCGCUAUUAUGAUUAACAAUGCGAUAGAUUCAGGAUACCUUCGGGACCCGUCUUGAAACACGGACCAAGGAGUCUAACAUAUGUGCAAGUCAUUGGGUUAAAAAACCCAUUGGCAUAAUUAACUUAACUGUUAUUUAUAAUGGGAUUAAUUUAUAUUUUGUUAUGAAAUAUUAAUUCAAUCCCGGGGCGUUCUAUAUAGUUAUGUAUAAUGAUAUUUAUAUUAUUUAUGCCUCUAACUAGAGCGUACCUUGAGCAUAUAUGCUGUGACCC
rnacentral:rRNA from 1 species